UCCAACAGAAGUAGCAAACUGACUUCUGAGAUGAAGUCUUUAUAACCCACGUGGUCAACACAACUAACUAGUACCCAGGUGCAAUGUUGUGUUCACCAUCUGUUCCCUUCUUUCUGCAACUCACAUGCAGUAUGUGCUUACUAUUGCAACAACCUGGGCUGCAACCACGGCCCAUGGCAACCGCCUGAGGGGCGACUGGGCCCCAGAGGGAUAAAGGGUGCUCAGUGGGGGUGAGGGUAAUCCAGGAAGGCUUCCUGGAGGAAGAGGGGUGAGCUCCACCUGGG
rnacentral:lncRNA from 1 species